rnacentral:tRNA from 1 species
AAGGGAGACCUAAUUCAGGUAGGAGACGAAAAAAAAGUAGUCGCUACCAAGAAUCAAUCCCAAAAGGUCGGAGCGAGGCGAAAUUGGCUUUCAAACUAGGUUCUGGGUUCAAACAAGACCUGAAUCAGGAACAAGGGCUAUUAGCUCAGGUGGUUAGAGCGCACCCCUGAUAAGGGUGAGGUCCCUGGUUCGAGUCCAGGAUGGCCCACCUGUACAGGUGGCAAAAAGAAAGAAAAGAAGCGAGGAAUCAGCACCUUAUCUUACUUAUAUAGUAAGAGAGAAUGCUGGCUCUGAGUAAAGAGUCCAGAGGAACCUUGAAAACUGCAUAGAGCUAGGUGAAAAAGCCAAAAAAGAAGACCGCAA